GAUGAACGCUAGCGGCAGGCUUAACACAUGCAAGUCGAGGGGCAGCACGGGUAGCAAUACCUGGUGGCGACCGGCGGAAGGGUGCGUAACGCGUGAGCGACAUACCCUAUACAGGGGAAUAAGCCAGGGAAACUUGGUCUAAUGCCCCAUAGCAAUAGAAUAAGGCAUCUUAUUUUAUUUAAAGCUUCGGUGGUAUAGGAUUGGCUCGCGUGACAUUAGCUGGAUGGCGAGGUAACGGCUCACCAUGGCGAUGAUGUCUAGGGGUUCUGAGAGGAAGGCCCCCCACACUGGGACUGAGACACGGCCCAGACUCCUACGGGAGGCAGCAGUGAGGAAUAUUGGACAAUGGAUGGAAAUCUGAUCCAGCCAUGCCGCGUGCAGGAAGACGGCCCUAUGGGUUGUAAACUGCUUUUCUACGUGAGCAAUAAGGUCUACGAGUAGACUGAUGAGAGUAGCGUAGGAAUAAGCAUCGGCUAACUCCGUGCCAGCAGCCGCGGUAAUACGGAGGAUGCGAGCGUUAUCCGGAUUUAUUGGGUUUAAAGGGUGCGUAGGCGGCUUUUUAAGUCAGCGGUGAAAUUUUGCAGCUUAACUGUAACAGUGCCGUUGAUACUGAGGAGCUAGGAUUUGGUUGCUGUGGGUGGAAUGUGUGGUGUAGCGGUGAAAUGCUUAGAGAUCACACAGAAUAUCGAUUGCGAAGGCAGCUCACAAAGCCAAGAUUGACGCUGAGGCACGAAAGUGUGGGGAUCAAACAGGAUUAGAUACCCUGGUAGUCCACACUGUAAACGAUGAUAACUCGCUGUCGGCGAUACACAGUCGGUGGCCAAGCGAAAGCGAUAAGUUAUCCACCUGGGGAGUACGACCGCAAGGGUUGAAACUCAAAGGAAUUGACG
rnacentral:rRNA from 1 species